rnacentral:lncRNA from 1 species
AGGGAAAUGUAUAGCACUAAAGGCCCACAAGAGAAAGCAGGAAAGAUCUAAAAUUGACACCCUAACAUCACAAGUAAAAGAACUAGAGAAGCAAGAGCAAACACAUUCAAAAGCUAGCAGAAGGCAAGAAAUAACUAAGAUCAGAGCAGAACUGAAGGAGAUAGAGACACAACACAGAAAUACAAACUACCAUCAGAGAAUACUAUAAACAC